rnacentral:rRNA from 1 species
CAGACUUCCAGAGACGGAUUGNUGACCUUCGGGAACAUUGAGACAGGUGCCUGCAUGUCUGUCGUCAGCUCGUGUCGUGAGAUGUUGGGUUAAGUCCCGUAACGAGCGCAACCCUUGUCCUUAGUUACCAGCACGUUAUGGUGGGCACUCUAAGGAGACUGCCGGUGACAAACCGGAGGAAGGUGGGGAUGACGUCAAGUCAUCAUGGCCCUUACGGCCUGGGCUACACACGUGCUACAAUGGUCGGUACAGAGGGUUGCCAAGCCGCGAGGUGGAGCUAAUCCCACAAAAUCGAUCGUAGUCCGGAUCGCAGUCUGCAACUCGACUGCGUGAAGUCGGAAUCGCUAGUAAUCGCGAAUCAGAAUGUCGCGGUGAAUACGUUCCCGGGUC